rnacentral:rRNA from 1 species
CAGCUUGUUGGCGGGGUAAAAGCCCACCAAGGCGACGAUCCGUAGCUGGUCUGAGAGGAUGAUCAGCCACACUGGAACUGAGACACGGUCCAGACUCCUACGGGAGGCAGCAGUGGGGAAUAUUGGACAAUGGGCGCAAGCCUGAUCCAGCCAUACCGCGUGGGUGAAGAAGGCCUUCGGGUUGUAAAGCCCUUUUGUUGGGAAAGAAAUCCUGCCGGUUAAUAAUCAGUAGGGAUGACGGUACCCAAAGAAUAAGCACCGGCUAACUUCGUGCCAGCAGCCGCGGUAAUACGAAGGGUGCAAGCGUUACUCGGAAUUACUGGGCGUAAAGCGUGCGUAGGUGGUUGUUUUAAGUCUGCUGUGAAAGCCCUGGGCCUCACCU